rnacentral:rRNA from 1 species
GAGACUCUGUGCGCGUGCAUAUCAAUAAGCGGAGGAAAAGAAACUAACAAGGAUUCCCCUAGUAACGGCGAGUGAAGCGGGAAGAGCUCAAAUUUGAAAUCUUAAAGGGUUUCCCUUUACGAAUUGUAGUUUAAAGAAGUGUUUUCUGUUGGAGUUUCGGUAAAAGUUCUUUGGAAUAGGACAUCAUAGAGGGUGAGAAUCCCGUAUUUGACCGUUACUUUCCAGCUGUGUGAUACACUUUCAAAGAGUCGGAUUGUUUGGGAAUGCAGUCCAAGAUGGGUGGUAAAUUUCAUCUAAAGCUAAAUAUUGGCGAGAGACCGAUAGCGAACAAGUACCGUGAGGGAAAGAUGAAAAGAACUUUGAAAAGAGAGUUAAACAGUACGUGAAAUUGUCAAAAGGGAAGCGUUUGACACCAGUGUUGUUUAGUUGAAAAUCAAUUCAAUAGUUUUUGAUUCUAAGUAGUAUUGACUUCAUCAGCUUGCUGCUUUCUUCUCAGAAAUUAUUGAAUGCACUUUUCAGUUAACAAGUCAACAUCAAUUUCUUUUGUUGUAAAAGGGUAAGAGGAAGGUGGCUUGCGCUUCGGCUCAAGUGUUUAUAGCCAUUUUAUCUCUGCAAUCGGAGAGAUUGAGGUCUGCAGCGUAGAUCCUUCGGGGUUAGAUACAUUGGUGCUAAGCUAUAGCCUUGUAUAGACAACUUGUUGACUAUGCUCAGUCAUGUAGCUUACUCGCUGAUGCUAUUUUACCUACGCUUAGGAUGUUGACAGCAGUAUAGACUG